GGGGAUAUAGCUCAGCUGGGAGAGCAGCAGACUGAAGUAUCAAGGAUUACUUGUUGAUUCUGAAGGUCCCGCGUUCGAUCCGCGGUAUCCCCA